CCUACGGGUGGCAGCAGUGGGGAAUAUUGCACAAUGGGGGAAACCCUGAUGCAGCGACGCCGCGUGAGUGAAGAAGUAAUUCGUUAUGUAAAGCUCUAUCAGCAGGGAAGAAAAUGAUGGUACCUGUGUAAUAAGCCCCGGCUAACUACGUGCCAGCAGCCGCGGUAAUACGGAGGGGGCAAGCGUUAACCGGAUUGACUGGGAGAAAAGGGAGCGGAGACGGCAGUGCAAGUCUGGUGUGAAAGGCGGGGGCUCAACCCCCGGACUGCACUGGAAACUGUACGGCUGGAGUGCAGGAGAGGUGAGUAGAAUUCCUAGUGUAGCGGUGAAAUGCGUAGAUAUUAGGAGGAACACCAGUGGCGAAGGCGGCUUACUGGACUGUAACUGACGUUGAGGCUCGAAAGCGUGGGGAGCAAACAGGAUUAGAUACCCUUGUAGUC
rnacentral:rRNA from 1 species